rnacentral:SRP_RNA from 1 species
GCUGGGCAUGGUGGCGCAUGCCUGUAAUCCCAGCUACUUGGGAAGCUGAGGUAGGAGAAUUGCUUGAACCCAGGAGGCGGAUGUUGCAGUGACCUGAGGUUGGGCCACUGCAAUCCAGCCUGGAUGACAGAGUAAAACUCCAUCUCAA